CCACUUGAUGAUGAGGACAUGGUGUCUUACAUACUCACCAGUCUCGAUGCUGAUUUUGAACCGGUGGUAUCUACGUUGGUGGCUAGGGUGGAGCCGGUCACAGUGGCCGAGCUUUACUCGCAGCUGCUCGGGUUUGAAG